UGGGUAAGACCUCCUCGUAUCUCACAUGCUUUACACCACAUUUUACUUGAAUGUGACAGCCUUGUGAAUCUCUAUCUUGUCGUUCUGUUUUGUUCUUUCCUUCCAGGGUGCAAGCACGCCGCAUACGGGGACGGGACAUCAGGGCUCCCGGGGGCUCGCUGUUCCUUUUUCCUAUGCAUAUACCUCUUUGAUGAGCUGUUUUAAAGAGGCAUAGGGCAUGGGAAAAUGGGGCUGCAGAGAAAUCCUUUAAAAGAGGCAUACUGCGUGGGAAAAUGGGGCUGCCGAGGUUUUCCACCUGACCGCCGAAAAAACAACAUGAUAUUAUGUCUGCUUGCAGGAUGUUUGCUUUUUUUUUUUAAUAAAGAUCCCAUGGUCAAGAAAUGUGCAACUUUUUUUUAACAUGAUUAACAUGUGAAAAAUCACUACUUCAUUAAUUAGUGGUGGUACAAAUAAUAAGUAGUACUCAAUGAAUGGUACAGUAUUGUUGUUUUAACCCUGUAAAAUGUCUAUAAUACUUUAUUAAAUAUAUUAUUUUUGAUUUUUUUUAUGAAGUCACAGCA